rnacentral:rRNA from 1 species
GAUGAACGCUGGCGGCGUGCCUAAUACAUGCAAGUCGAGCGAACGGACGAGAAGCUUGCUUUUCUGAUGUUAGCGGCGGACGGGUGAGUAACACGUGGAUAACCUACCUAUAAGACUGGGAUAACUUCGGGAAACCGGAGCUAAUACCGGAUAAUAUUUUUGAACCGCAUGGUUCAAAAGGGAAAGACGGUCUUGCUGUCACUUAUAGAUGGAUCCGCGCUGCGUUAGCUAGUUGGUAAGGUAACGGCUUACCAAGGCAACGAUGCAUAGCCGACCUGAGAGGGUGAUCGGCCACACUGGAACUGAGACACGGUCCAGACUCCUACGGGAGGCAGCAGUAGGGAAUCUUCCGCAAAGGGCGAAAGCCUGACGGAGCAACGCCGCGUGAGUGAUGAAGGUCUUCGGAUCGUAAAACUCUGUUAUUAGGGAAGAACAUAUGUGUAAGUAACUGUGCACAUCUUGACGGUACCUAAUCAGAAAGCCACGGCUAACUACGUG